rnacentral:rRNA from 1 species
GACGAACGCUGGCGGCGUGCUUAACACAUGCAAGUCGAACGGUGAUGCUCCAGCUUGCUGGAGUGGAUCAGUGGCGAACGGGUGAGUAACACGUGAGCAACCUGCCCCAGACUCUGGAAUAAGCGCUGGAAACGGCGUCUAAUACUGGAUACGAAACUGGCCCGCAUGGGCAUGGUUUGGAAAGUUUUUCGGUUUGGGAUGGGCUCGCGGCCUAUCAGCUUGUUGGUGAGGUAAUGGCUCACCAAGGCGACGACGGGUAGCCGGCCUGAGAGGGCGACCGGCCACACUGGGACCGAGACACGGCCCAGACUCCUACGGGAGGCAGCAGUGGGGAAUAUUGCACAAUGGGCGAAAGCCUGAUGCAGCGACGCCGCGUGAGGGAUGACGGCCUUCGGGUUGUAAACCUCUUUCAGCAGGGAAGAAGCGAAAGUGACGGUACCUGCAGAAGAAGCACCGGCUAACUACGUG